GGGUUGUGAGGUUAAGCGACUAAGCGUACACGGUGGAUGCCCUGGCAGUCAGAGGCGAUGAAGGACGUGCUAAUCUGCGAUAAGCGCCGGUAAGGUGAUAUGAACCGUUAUAACCGGCGAUUUCCGAAUGGGGAAACCCAGUGUGACUCGUCACACUAUCAUUAACUGAAUCCAUAGGUUAAUGAGGCGAACCGGGGGAACUGAAACAUCUAAGUACCCCGAGGAAAAGAAAUCAACCGAGAUUCCCCCAGUAGCGGCGAGCGAACGGGGAGGAGCCCAGAGCCUGAAUCAGCAUGUGUGUUAGUGGAAGCGUCUGGAAAGGCGCGCGAUACAGGGUGACAGCCCCGUACACAAAAGCGCAUAUGCUGUGAGCUCGAUGAGUAGGGCGGGACACGUGGUAUCCUGUCUGAAUAUGGGGGGACCAUCCUCCAAGGCUAAAUACUCCUGACUGACCGAUAGUGAACCAGUACCGUGAGGGAAAGGCGAAAAGAACCCCGGCGAGGGGAGUGAAAAAGAACCUGAAACCGUGUACGUACAAGCAGUGGGAGCCCCACCACUAAGCCAGUGGUGAAGUCCACAUACGCAUCCUUUGC
rnacentral:rRNA from 1 species